CCUAUACGAUACUUUAUUAUAUUUAGCGAUAUUUGAAAUAAUUAUUUUACGUUAACAAUGGAAAGUAAAAUUACAAGUUAGUCAACGUAAAUCCGUUAAAGUAUAUUUAUUUUCAAUGCAUUUAAAACAAAUCAUAGUGAUUUUUUUAUUAGUUAAAGUGAUGAAUAGUAAAAUAAAACUUAACGAUUCAGCUCUGGAAGACUCAGCGAUCAAUUUCUAUCGUCAAGUGGUCGACAACCCCGAUUUUACAUGAAUAUCAAAUAUGUGAACCGCCACAGCUUGGACACAUCAAAAGAGAGCAGAACGGAAAUAAAGAAGGCCAAAUAAGAAGCAAACUAAAAUUUUAAACAAGAAAAAGGCACUUCGAACGGUGCAGGUACUGCAGAUUAAAUUUUGAUAAGGCGUUGCUGAGAUAUCGUGAUCGAUCCGACCUGCCUUUAAAUUAUAGCGUUAAAUUAUGGCGGUGUAUGAACAUACUUAUAAAAAUGAAUAAAAACAAAUUUUUUUUUAUAAUUCAAGCCGUCAUUUAUCAUCCCUAACAGUGUUUGUAUACUUAUCUUUCAUAGCAAGCUCACAAGAAAUUAUCAUCAUUAAAAAAAUUGUUGAGUAAACGCGGAUUAGAGUCCAGAAUACAUGCAAAGCAAAUGAUUUUUUAUUUAUUUAAGCCCCUCGGAGUACACUUUUUUCAAGGGGGAGUUUUGUUUAUAUUAUUUAUGAAAAAAAAACUCCACGGAAUAAAAUACGAGAAAUGAA